GCCCUCAGGUUCCCUUUCCCAUCAGAUCUGAACAUCGGUCUUGGUGGUCCUAAAAGGAAGAAAAGUAAUACUAGAUUCAUGGUGCUUAUAAUCUGUUCUACAGCAUGUGGGGUAGUUUCAAACCAAG